GACGAACGCUGGCGGCGUGCCUAAUACAUGCAAGUCGAACGCAGUGGGGACGGGUGAGUAACACGUGGGUAACCUCCCAUCAGAGGGGAUAACACUUGGAAACAGGUGCUAAACCGAUACUGAUGGAUGGACCCGCGGUGCAUUAGCUAGUUGGUGAGGUAACGGCUCACCAAGGCCACGAUGCAUAGCCGACCUGGGAGGGUGAGAAGCCACACUGGGACUGAGACACGGCCCAGACUACCACGGGGGGCAGCAGUGGGGAAUAUUGCACAAUGGGCGCAAGCCUGGUGCAGCGAUGCCGCGGGUAUGAAGAAGGCCCUAGGGUUGUAAGACGUUCAGGCGGGAGGAACGUUACCGACAGAAGAAGCACCGGCUAACUCCGUGCCAGCAGCCGCGGUAAUAC
rnacentral:rRNA from 1 species